rnacentral:rRNA from 1 species
AGCAGUCGCCGCGGUAAUACGGAGGUCCCAAGCGUUGUUCGGAAUCACUGGGCGUAAAGGGAGCGUAGGCGGCGUGGUAAGUCAGAUGUGAAAUCCCGGGGCUCAACCCCGGAACUGCAUUUGAUACUGCCAUGCUUGAGGGUUGGAGAGGUAGCUGGAAUUCCUGGUGUAGCAGUGAAAUGCGUGGAUAACAAGAGGAACACUCGUGGCGAAGGCGAGCUACUGGACAACAUCUGACGCUGAGGCUCGAAGGCUAGGGUAGCGAAAGGGAUUAGAUACCCGUGUAGUCCCUGUCUCUUAUAC